CCUCUCUUGACCUGGAGCCAUUCCGGAACAGCCAGCAUCCAAUCACAGCAGCUGACCAAGGGCCAUUGGGAAGUGACAUAAUCCCUGAACUUUAGCUCCACCAUCACUGAUCACAACCACCCUCUGAUCUGCACAGCAGCAUACAGGGGAGGGAAGAUGGUGAACAGCUCCAAAACUGUCAAUGUCAAAUUCUGAGUUCCAUUGGAGUGUUCACACUGCACAAAAAAAGAGUGACCAGCCAGUAACCAAUAUGCAGGACAUGGAUACAGCCAACUUUGCUUCCUCAGAUCCCUCACCAUCAAGAGAAAGCAUCUGAGAGUGGUCCUAACUCUAUCCACACGAAAGAGCAGAAAGACACCAGCAGUGAAAUCAACACAAACUACCACACCAACAAUCAGCUAUAUGGCAACAUGGAGGCUGAAGAGGAUGGCGACCCAUACGAGUGUGAUGGUGGAGACGAAGCAGUCUAUGGUAACUUGUGAACACAACAGGAAGUAUGUGGGAGUCAGCUGGCCCAGAGGCAGUGGUACUCCGUCUCUCAAAGGUUCCAGUAAAAUAUUAACAGUCUAAACCAAUGUAGCAGAGCUGGUGACUGCUUAUAUUUGUUAGCUUGAUGUAGCUUUAUAGUUCUUAUGGCUAAUGAAUAUGGUACAUUCUUAUUUGGGCUGUGGCUUUGUGUUAUGGCUUUUACAAGGCAUUUGUUUAUCAUCUAUUGCUUGGGUGAUUCAGAAGAGUUUUUACAAAAUGUUUAAUAUGCACAAUAAAUCAACCAGUAUUUAACGAUAGAUUGUUCCCCACUUCCCCAGCUGUCUGUUGAAAUUGUGUCUUGAGGGUAAUCUGAGUGUGGGACUUUCAGUGUUUCUCCACUUGGGGUUGCUCUUUCAUUUAUUGAGAUUUUCAACAUCUGUUUAUUUCCAUGGGGUUUGAGCUAUUUCACAAUACUGAUUUUGUCAGCUUUCUUGACCCUCUCUAUAAGAACAUAUCGGUAACGGGCAUACAAAUCAAAAUCCAGACAAUUAUUAAUUGUUAUUAGGUUCUGAUUGUAGCUCUGUAUACAUGAUUAAAUCUGGAGAAAAAAUAAGAAAGUUUCACAAAACAUGUUUUUGAACGAAUCCUUCAUAUGAUUUGAAAGGCUUAGAAACAUUUUAAUGUAUUCAAUGUAUUUGGUGAGAAAGGCCUCCCCAUACUAAUUCCUGGGAGUGCAGGAUAUAGUGUCCUUAUCCUCAAACUCCCCCUCCACUAAAAAUGUAGAGGUUGACUUGUCAAAUGUGUGGUUUUGUUGGUUCAGCCCGACUAAUCUGCAUACUUUUCUGGAAGGUCUGUUGGGAGAAUAUGGACCAUUUGUUUAUAGCCACACAGCAUAUUUUUUACAGACCACUUCAGAAGUGCAAUGAGCUACAAUCACUCUGGAACUUCCUCAAUUACUGUGAUCUUCAGGAAUUCAAAUCAAAUCACAUUUUAUUAGUCACAUGCGUCGAACACAACAGGUGUAGACCUUACAGUGAAAUGCUUACUUACGAGCCCCUAACCGACAGUGCAGUUUCAAAAAAUACGGAUACGAAUAAGAGCUAAAAGUAACAAGUAAUUAAAGAGGAGCAGUAA